rnacentral:rRNA from 1 species
GAUGAACGCUAGCGGCAGGCCUAAUACAUGCAAGUCGAGGGAGAAUGUUGGAUUCGUCUGACAUGAAACCGGCGCACGGGUGCGUAACACGUAUGCAACCUACCUUUAACUGGGGUAUAGCUCAGAGAAAUCUGAAUUAAUCCCCCAUAAGACUACGACAUGGCAUCAUGAUGUAGUUAAAGCUCCGGCGGUUAAGGAUGGGCAUGCGGUACAUUAGCUAGUUGGUGAGGUAAUGGCUCACCAAGGCUACGAUGUAUAGGGGGUCUGAGAGGAUGAUCCCCCACACUGGUACUGAGACACGGACCAGACUCCUACGGGAGGCAGCAGUAGGGAAUAUUGGUCAAUGGACGCAAGUCUGAACCAGCCAUGCCGCGUGAAGGAUGAAGGCCCUAUGGGUCGUAAACUUCUUUUAUUAGGGGAGAAAAAACGGGAUGCGUCCUGUACUGACGGUACUUAAUGAAUAAGGAUCGGCUAACUUCGUGCCAGCAGCCGCCGUAA